rnacentral:rRNA from 1 species
GACGUAGGGUGCAAGCGUUAUCCGGAAUUAUUGGGCGUAAAGAGCUCGUAGGCGGUUUGUCGCGUCUGCUGUGAAAACCCGAGGCUCAACCUCGGGCCUGCAGUGGGUACGGGCAGACUAGAGUGCGGUAGGGGAGAUUGGAAUUCCUGGUGUAGCGGUGGAAUGCGCAGAUAUCAGGAGGAACACCGAUGGCGAAGGCAGAUCUCUGGGCCGUAACUGACGCUGAGGAGCGAAAGCGUGGGGAGCGAACAGG